GACAGAGGGUGCGAACGUUGUUCGGAAUUACUGGGCGUAAAGCGCGUGUAGGCGGCAAUGCAAGUCGGGCGUGAAAUCCCACGGCCCAACCGUGGAAGUGCACUCGAAACUGCAUAGCUAGAGUCCUGGAGAGGAAGGUGGAAUGCUUGGUGUAGAGGUGAAAUUCGUAGAUAUCAAGCGGAACACCGGUGGCGAAGGCGGCCUUCUGGACAGUGACUGACGCUGAGACGCGAAAGCGUGGGGAGCAAACAGG
rnacentral:rRNA from 1 species